AUGAGCCAUAUAGAUUUCACUUUUUUGGGAAACACAAAUAAUCGACUAUGGUCAAACAAUUACUAUAAUUUGGACAAAGUGAAAAUGAAUAUACCAUUUGCUUUAGUCCAUUUAUCAAAUUUGGUAGUUUACAAACAAUUGAAUGAAUUAGGUAAAAUUCUCAAUCAAUUGAAAAACGAAAUAAUAUUAAGUAAAGAAAAACCAAUACAAGUGGUGAAUAAUAAUUCAAGUAAAUUGCACGCAAUAAAAGUCAGGCAAUGUUUAUUAGCUCAACAAACUACUAAUUUACCAACAAAAAAAAAUCAACCAUCGAUUUUACGUCCAAAUGCAGUCCGUAUUAUAAAGGCAAUAGCAUUUUUCUACAAAAACAUGUAACCAAAAAUGUCAAAAAACACAAAGAAAAUUUUAGU